UCGGACGGGAAGGCGUAGCUAUUAACAUACUUGUCACAAGCACUACAAACCACUAUUACCUCUCUCAGAGUAACGUCACUGCCGCAUCCUUUCAACUGGAGACGCCUCGACGACGCGGCCGCUAACAUGAGGUAGCUGGAUGAACUGGACUUCGCAGAAACAGAAUUCAUGUGGAAAUAACAGCAUCCUAAUUUCCCGCCAUCAAAAGAGGAAGUGAUGCAGCCUGACUGAUCCGGUGUACAUCAUGGUCCUAAAGCUGCAAAGUAAACAUUCCAUGGAGCCUGAGGUCAUCGCUACAGUACACUCCACUCCCCAGAUGCCAGAGAAGGAGAGGGGUCCUGACGGCCAGGCGCGGCGGCGCUCCGCAUUCAUGGAGCAGCGCAGGAGGUGCGAGCAUGCGCCCGGCGUCUGAGAGUCUACAAAACUGCAUCACGCAGCCUAAAGACACCAGUUGGCUGUCAUCUCCACUCCAUGUCCACACAGAUUGAAAAACCCCAUAGCAACACAGCUGAAAGGUCCAGAGAUCAGUGUGCCAGUAAGCAGGUGGAGACGCUCUGAACAUUAGGGAGAUUUGAUCAGCUCACACUGACCCAGAGAACCAAAACGAAGUCAU